rnacentral:rRNA from 1 species
UGGGGUGUCUAUAGAGAGCGGGAAGCACCUGUUCCCAUUCCGAACACAGAAGUUAAGCCGCUCAUCGGCGAUGAUACUUGGAGGGAAACUUCCUGGGAAAGUAGCUCGAUGCCCCAU